CUACGGGACGCUGCAGUGAGGAAUAUUGCACAAUGGGGGGAACCCUGAUGCAGCAACGCCGCGUGGAGGAUGACGCAUUUCGGUGUGUAAACUCCUUUUAUAUGUCAAGAAAAUGACGGUAGCAUAUGAAUAAGCACCGGCUAACACCGUGCCAGCAGCCGCGGUAAUACGGAGGGUGCAAGCGUUACUCGGAAUCACUGGGCGUAAAGGACGCGUAGGCGGGUUGGAAAGUCAGGUGUGAAAUCCUACAGCUUAACUGUAGAACUGCACUUGAAACUUCUAAUCUAGAGUAUGGGAGGGGGAGAUGGAAUUAGUGGUGUAGGGGUAAAUUCCGUAGAUAUCACUAGGAAUACCUAAAGCGAAGGCGAUCUCCUGGAACAUUACUGACGCUAAGGCGUGAAAGCGUGGGGAGCAAACAGGAUUAGAUACCCUCGUAGUC
rnacentral:rRNA from 1 species